GGACUACUGGGGUAUCUAAUCCCGUUCGCUCCCCUGGCUUUCGUGUCUCAGCGUCGGCACAACCCCAGUCGCUUGCUUUCGCCCUUGGCGUUCCAAAUGAUAUCUACGCAUUUCACCGCUCCACCAUUUGUUCCAGCGACCCCUAGUUGGCCCAAGACACCCAGUAUACCCAGCAGUUCCACGGUUGAGCCGUGGGAUUUCACAAGGUACUUAGGCAUCCGCCUACACACGCUUUAAGCCCAGUGAUUCCGCCUAACGCUUGGCACCUCUGUCUUACCGCGGCUGCUGGCAC
rnacentral:rRNA from 1 species